rnacentral:rRNA from 1 species
CUCCUAGUGGGCUACACGUUGCCUACUUGGCGUAUACAAAGAGAAGCGACCUCGCGAGAGCAAGCGGACCUCAUAAAGUACGUCGUAGUCCGGAUUGGAGUCUGCAACUCGACUCCAUGAAGUCGGAAUCGCUAGUAAUCGUGGAUCAGAAUGCUACGGUGAAUACGUUCCCGGGCCUUGUACACACCGCCCGUCACACCAUGGGAGUGGGUUGCAAAAGAAGUAGGUAGCUUAACCUUCGGGAGGGCGCUUACCACUUUGUGAUUCAUGACUGGGGUGAAGUCGUAACAAGGUAACCGUAGGGGAACCUGCGGUUGAUUCACCUCCUAGA